rnacentral:rRNA from 1 species
AAUAAGUUAAGUAAGGGCGUAUGGCGGAUGCCUAGGCUCUCAGAGGCGAUGAAGGACGUGAUAAGCUGCGAAAAGUUACGGGGAGAAGCACAUAUUUUAUGAUCCGUAAAUAUCCGAAUGGGGCAACCCAGUAUGCUGAAGGCAUAUUACCUAUUUAUAGGUGCAAACCCGGUGAACUGAAACAUCUAAGUAACCGGAGGAAGAGAAAACAAAAGUGAUUCCGUUAGUAGUGGCGAGCGAACGCG